rnacentral:rRNA from 1 species
GACGAACGCUGGCGGCGUGCUUAACACAUGCAAGUCGAACGGAAAGGCCAGUGCUUGCACUGGUACUCGAGUGGCGAACGGGUGAGUAACACGUGGGUGAUCUGCCUUGCACUCUGGGAUAAGCUUGGGAAACUGGGUCUAAUACCGGAUAUGAACUGCCUUUAGUGUGGUGGUUGGAAAGUUUUUUCGGUGCAAGAUGAGCUCGCGGCCUAUCAGCUUGUUGGUGGGGUAAUGGCCUACCAAGGUGUCGACGGGUAGCCGGCCUGAGAGGGUGUACGGCCACAUUGGGACUGAGAUACGGCCCAGACUCCUACGGGAGGCAGCAGUGGGGAAUAUUGCACAAUGGGCGGAAGCCUGAUGCAGCGACGCCGCGUGGGGGAUGACGGCCUUCGGGUUGUAAACUCCUUUCGACAGGGACGAAGCGUAAGUGACGGUACCUGUAGAAGAAGCACCGGCUAACUACGUG